rnacentral:piRNA from 1 species
UCACACCCACCCAGCUGCCACUCCCGAC